rnacentral:rRNA from 1 species
AGAGUUUGAUCCUGGCUCAGGAUGAACGUUGGCGGUGUGCCUUAAGCAUGCAAGUCGAGCGGGAUUAGUAGCAAUACUAAUUUAGCGGCAGACGGGUGAGUAAUACGUGGGAAUCUACCUCUUUGUGGGGAAUAGCCAGCCGAAAGGUUGGGUAAUACCGCAUGAUAUCGCAAGAUUAAAGGCCUUAACGGGCCGCGAAGAGAGGAGCCUGCGUCCUAUCAGCUAGUUGGUGAGGUAAUGGCUCACCAAGGCGAUGACGGGUAGGGGACGUGAGAGCGUGUUCCCCCACAAAGUCACUGAGACACGGGACAUACACCUACGGGUGGCAGCAACUGGGAAUUUUGCGCAAUGGACGAAAGUCUGACGCAGCGACACCGCGUGUGGGAUGAAGUAUUUCGGUAUGUAAACCACUGUGGCGAGGGAUGAAAUUUUGACAGUACCUCGCUAGAAAGCAUCUGCUAACUACGUGCCAGAAGCCUCGGCAAUGCGUGGGAUGCAAACGUUAUCCGGAUUUACUGGGCGUAAAGGGUUUCGCAGGCGGAUUGUUUAGUCUGGCCUUAAAGACUGGAGCUCAACUCCAGAUAUGGGUUGGAUACUGGCAAUCUAGAGGAUAUCAGGGGGAACUGGAAUGCUCGGUGGAGGGGUGAAAUCCGUUGAGAUCGAGCAGAACGCCAAUGGCGAAAGCAGGUUCCUGGGGUAUUCCUGACGCUCAGGUACGAAAGCUAGGGGAGCAAACGGGAUUAGAGACCCCUGGUAGUCCUAGCCGUAAACUAUGAAUACUAGCUGCUUCCUUUAUAGGGGGUGGCGUAAGCUAACGCGUUAAGUAUUCCGCCUGGGUAGUACGGCCGCAAGGUUAAAACUCAAAGGAAUUGACGGGGGAGCGCACAACCGGUGGAGCAUGUGGUUUAAUUCGAUACGAAGCGAAAGACCUCACCUGGGUUUGACAUGUAAUUGCAAAUCCCUGGAAACAGGGACUCUUUCGAAGGUAUUACACAGCUGCUGCAUGGCUGUCGUCAGCUCGUGUCGUGAGACGUCCGCUUAAGUGCGGUAACGAGCGCAACCCCUGCCGCGUGUUAAAUAAUCACGCGGGACUGCCUUACAGCAAGUAGGGAGGAAGGAGGGGGACGACGUCAAGUCAGCAUGGCGCUUACAUCCAGGGCCACACACAUCCUACAAUGGGAAGUAAUAACGGGUCGCGACGGGGUAACCCUGAGCCAAUCCUUCAAACCUUCCCUCAGUUCAGAUUGAGGGCUGCAACCCGCCCUCAUGAAGUCGGAAUCGGUAGUAAUCGCAGGUCAGCAGACUGCGGUGAAUACGUUCUCGCUCCUUGUACACACUGCCCGUCAAGCCAGCAAAGUCGGCAGAUCCCGAAGCGGGUGUCCGUAACCAUCGUAAGAUGGAGCGGCUCUCCUAAGGAUAGGUCGGUGAUGAGGACUAAGUCGUAACAAGGUAUCCGUUCUGGAAGGAGCGGUUGGAUCACCUCCUU